rnacentral:pre_miRNA from 1 species
UCUUAUGGAUGAGCAAAGAAAGUGGUUUCUUGAGAUGGAAUGUACUCCUGGUGAAACUGCAGUGAA